UUAUUUAGUAUGGUAACUUGCUUCUUGAUUUUACAAAUAUGAAUUCUCUUGAAGAGAAAUUUUGAUCUAAGGCCAACUUUUCCCUUAAUGGUUCCUUUGUGUCCAUGAAGAGAUGGUAAAUGCAUACAAAGUUAUUAGCAGCACUUUUCAUAAAAUAAAAUUUAACACAGAAAUUUGCUGCAAAAUUAACUGCCAAAAGUUUUAUAUAGAAAUGAAUUUCGGGUUAACCACUAUUUUAUUUUACAUUGAACAUGGAAAUUCACAGAACUUAUUGACUUUAUUAUUCCACUAUGUUCUUUCAACAUAAUUUGCUAGUCUAUUAAACUCUUGCCCAGGAAAAUAAACCUGAAAAUAACCUUAUUGCUCAUUUCAGGAAUAUCUUGAAAGACCUCGGAGCUUUGCUUCUGGAUCUUGAUCCAGGGGGGGUUUAAGGGAAAUUAGGGGAAAUGAUGACCAAAACAUUUCUGUGAAAUGUGCACAAUAGGCAGCCAGUUAAUCAUUGCUUUCUUCAUCAGUGUUUCGUGAGCUUCUACAGGUUCGUCAGCCCAUUCUUAGAGCUGUUGGUUGGCAAAUUUUCUUUUAUCUCUGUUGAAGAUCUUGUUUUCCUGUAGCUGUUAUUAGUAAAUAAUGCACAAACUCAAGCGAAGCAAUAAUUGCAUUCAAGCAAGCUUUUCUCUAACAAGGAGUCAGCACUGUCACAGCACGGUUCCUAAUAGCUCAAGGAUGCACUCCUGGGAUGAGGACUCCAGGCUCCUUAAGUUCCUGCCUGGGAAAACUCAAGGCUGCCAGAAUGAUUUACUUUUUGUUCCAGCCAACCCCUGAAGAUAGGGCACCUGCCUUCUAGUCUCCAUGGGAGGACAGAAGCCUAACUGGAUAAUCGCCAGUUAACAAACACAGAUGGACUAAUCACGUAAACCAACCACCUCCUUCCCGCUUUUUUAAGUUUCUGCUUCCCUGACUCCACUGAGCCUAUGUUCCAUCCCUACUCCUACUUUCUGAUUCUUUCCUUGAA
rnacentral:lncRNA from 10 species